AGAGAUGUAGGAGCCAUUUCUAUGACAGUGACUGCUGCUGCUUCAGUGCCGUUCUCAUGAACAUGCAGCAGGGCCUUGUGAACAGCCUGCAAGGAAACGAAGCAAACAUUACAGUCUAAGCACAGAAGAGUGGGCAUUGGCUGAAAAUGCACACGCUCACUUUUAAACCAGAGCUCUUUGGAAAAUCAGCUGUUAAGACAUGGGCCCAAUAAGAGCAGGACUGAUGGAGCACAAUGGAAGAAAUACAGACAGCAUUCCCAAUGAGUUCAUUAGGAGCUUUGUCUGUGUAAGUAAGUACUGCAGGGUUAGGCGCAUCAAUAUUAAAAGACUGAGCUGGAGGAAUCAAAUCACUACAAAGGGACUCUCCUAUUCACUACUCCUCAGCACAGACGAAUAGUCUCUCAGAAUCUGAAAUAGAUGUCUAGUGAAGAAUUAAUUUACAGCAGAAAAUUGGAUCAGAUUCAGGAGAAAUGAUGACCUCAGAGGGAAAGGAACCAGCUAGCUGAGCUCCAGUCUCUUCUCUCCAAGGAUAACAAAAGGCUUUAGCACCAUUAAUGAAUUAAAGGUGUUCUACAAAUGACAGAAAAUACAUUAGGAUGAUACCAUCAUUGCUUACAUAAAGAAGGCCUGAGAGGGCUUGCCCAUCGAAGGGAAGGUCUUGCAUCAACUGCUGAGCCUCCGUGGACAAGCCAAAGGGGAGCAGCCAGGAUGCCUGAUACAUAGCAUCGCCCUCCUCCAUGAUUGCCUGGAACUCCUUCCUAGAAGCCUCAGGAAGUAAGCCCUCAAACUUGGCAUGGCUUGCCACAUGUUAAAGUCAUAGCGUCCCAGCAGGGCCUGAUGGUUGGCCACCCUCCACUGGAGACUAGAGGACGAAUAAACCUUAC